AUGCAUCUCAAAACUAAGAAACGACUUAAAAAUUUGACCGUUGAAGGAGGAGAAACCUAUAUCAGUGCCUCCUCUCAUUCACACCCAUCUACGCUGAGAGAGAGAGAGAGAGAGAGAGAGGGGAAAGAGCUGAGUUGUACCCAGUACCUUGAUUUCAAUUCAAGAAGACCAAAGAAGAAUUUCGCAAAUGGCAUCAAGACCCACGGUUCAACAACAAGCCAGAGGAGUUUUGGUGCCAAACUACUUGCCACUGUGCAAGCACCAGCAGCUGCUGAAAACAACAUGAAACAAGCAUGUGCUAAUGUGGCUGGAGCUCCUCCUGUUGCUAAAGGAGUUGCGCUGGCCAAAAGAGCGGUGGCCCCCAAACCGGGUCAGAAGAAAGUGACUGUAAAACCUAAGUCUGAGGAAGUCAUUGACAUUGAUGCUAGUCCAGAUAAGACAAGAAAAAGGAAAAGAAAUCAUGCAGUCUUACUUCAGUAUUCACAGCUCGAAGCAAGGUCGCAUGCGGCAUAACUAACAAGCCGAAGGAUCAGAUUCUUGACAUCGAUGCUUCUGAUGUUGACAAUGAACUUGCUGCUGUGGAGUAUAUUGAUGACAUUUACAAGUUCUAUAAGCUUGUUGAGAACGAGAGCCACCCCCGUGACAACAUAGACUCACAACCUGAGAUAACUGAGAGGAUGAGAGCUAUACUAGUUGAUUGGCUGAUACAAGUCCAAACCAAGUUUGAACUUUCACUUGAGACCCUUUACUUGACAAUCAAUAUAGUUGAUUGGUUCCUGGCGGUUAAGAAUGUUCCAAAGAGGGAACUGCAAUUGGUUGGCAUCAGUGCUGUGCAGAUGGCAACCAAGUAUGAAGAAAUCUAUCCCCCUCAGGUUCAUAACUUUGUCUUCCUCUCAGGUAGGGCUUACACUCAUGAACAGAUACUGAUUAUGGAGAAAAUCAUACUGGCCAAGCUGGACUGGACUUUGACUGUGCCAAUACCUUUGGUUUUCCUACUUCGUUUUAUCAAGGCAUCAGUCCCAGAUCAGGAGUUGGAAAACAUGGCUCAUUUUCUGUCUGAGUUGGGAUUGAUGAAUUAUGCGACUGAAAUGUAUUGGCCAUCAAUGGUUGCUGCCUCAGCAGUCUUUGCAGCUAGAUGCACUCUGAAUAAGGCUCCCCUUUGGAAUGAGACACUUAAGCUGCAGACAGGUUACUCACAAGAACAACUUAUGUUCAUGGAAGAUGAUGCAUGUUUACUACGUCAAUUUCUUCAAAUCUUUUUCGGGUUAAAUGCAUGAAAUCCUUAUAUUUUGGUCGAAGAAUGAAAUCUCGUAAUAUUCUACUGAAAUGCUGGCUACACAAUUUUGGUUAUGCUUGUCCCCUCUGAGGUACACCAACAAAUCAUUAGCAAUUUCACACCACCAGGUCAGCUUUCUUUUACGAAAUCUUGCCUUACACGUAAUCUUUAAGGUAAGAGGGCUUUGUGAUGACCCUCUUAGCUUUUCCUUCUAUCUGCACCUCUGUUUUCUGCACUGGCACCAUUAAUUUCUGCACUUUGUCCUCAGCACCCUGUUGUUGAGCUUUUGUAUCAUCCUCCACCCCUUGAAAAAUCACCUUGUCCUCAAGGUGAUAAUCCUCCUUCAAUUGAGCCCAAUUUUCCCAUGAUGUCUCAUCUGGGGACAGUCCAUCCCACUGAACCAGCAGCUCUAGAGGCCCCUGAGCUGUAGUCCAAUGAGAGUCUAAGAUAGUCAAAGGCGUGAUCAAAGGUUGAUACUGGAUGAAUUGUUUCGGCCAGUGAACCUGUGGAACGGAUUUCGACAACCCUUUGGAAUGGUUUUAAUAAUGAACAAUGGAAAACAGGGUGUAUGCGAGCUUCUGUCGGUAACCUAAGACAAUAAGCAACAGACCCAAUGCGUUCCUCAAUUUGAAAUGGACCAUAAAACCGCUUCUCCAGUUUGCCCGUUAUGACCUAUGAUCCCUUUGCUGAAACUUGUCGAUGUGGCCUCAAUUUUAGCAUGACCCAAUUGCCUGUGCGGUAGACCACCUCUCUGCGUUUAGUAUCAGCUAUCAUCUUCAUGCGAACCUGAGCUUUCAGAAGCUUUUUGCGGAUAGCUUGAAAUGUGUUCUCUCUGUUAGUUAGCAAUUCAUCAACUGCGUCAAGAGUAGAGGAACCAGUGAUGUAAUCAGGGAAAUUAAACGACUUGCGAUCGAAGGUAACUUCAUAGGGGGUGGUGCCCGUUGUCGCGUUCCAAGCUGUGUUAUGAGACCAUUCCACCCACAGGAGGAGUUUGCCCCAUUCCUUUGGCUUUUGAUGCACAAAUGCUCUUAAGUAUUGCUCGAUGACUCUGUUCAAAGCUUCAGUCUGGCCAUCACUUUGUGGGUGAUAAGCUGAGCUCAUCCUGAGCUGCGUGCCACUGUGCCGAAAAAGUUCUUGCCAAAAUUUGCUAAUAAACAUGGGAUCAUGAUCCGAGACCAAGCUACGGGGAAGACAAUGUCCAUGAACAAGGAUGCCACGGUGUGAGCUGUCUGUGUAAUAGGGAGCAUGCCCAAGUGUAUCCCUUUUGAAAAUCUAUCCACUACGACCAAGUGUUGCCGUGAUAGGAGGGAAGCCGUGUGAUGAAGUCAAGGGAUAAGUCUUCCCAAGGGCGUUGAGGAACAGGUAGAGGACAUAAGAGGCUGGCAAGGCGCUUGGUCUCAUAUUUAGUGUGUUGACAGUCCAUGCACUGGGAUACGAACUUGGUGACAUCGUUCCUCAUUCCUGGCCACUCAAAAUUUUCCGACAAGCGUGCGAUGAUCUUGGUGAUGCCCAUGUGGCCUCGCGAUGGAUCUCCGGAGUUAAGCCAAAGAUAAAAAAGCUCAAUAGAAACGACGAGGGAAGACUGAUGAUGCGAUUUGCGAGGUCCUCGAACUCCGAUAGGUAAUGAGCAACAGAACCCCUCUGUGUCAAUUUGAAUAAUGCUCCCGUAGGAUCAUCGUACUGUGAUGGUGCAAAACGUGCUUGCAGGGCUUGGAGGAAGAUAGGCCAAGACGUGAACUGACCAUUCGAGGUCAUCCACUGGAAUCACGCCAGUGCUCUGCCUUCCAUGUAGAAGGAAGCAAUGGUGAGCCUCUCAGUUUCUGGUGUACGAUGAUAUUCGAAAAACUGAUUGAUUUUGAAAACCCAACCUAGGGGGUUCGUACCGUCAAACCGUGGGACAUCUAAUUUCAUGCGGUGUGUGUUUGUAGGGACAGUGGGGGAUGGUGGAAAGGACAUGGAUGGUGAGGCUGAGGCGGAGAGGGCGGGGGAGACACGGGUAAGUAGUUCCUCGAUUUUUUGGAUCAAGGAAUUCAUGGAUUCACCAAGGGAGGAUUGAUUUUGGGUAAGGCGGAAUAAAAUUUCAUCAGGUCAGUCAGGGGUACCCAUGGCUGUGCGUGAGUCAACACGAGAGCACCAAAAUUGAUACGCAAAAACAGAAAAGAAGCUGGAUACGAGGCUAGCACCUCCUGAAGAAAGGUAAGGAAAAUGAAGCUUUUGUAUUUCGUAUAUCUGAUCAUUACAAUUGCUUAAUUUUAUACUACUUCCUUGCUUAACAGAAUUCGUCAUUUACUGCCAAGAAAUAUUCUACUGAAAUGCUGGCUACACAAUUUUGGUUAUGCUUGUCCCCUCUAAGGUACACCAACAAAUCAUUAGCAAUUUCACACCACCAGGUUCAUGGAAGAUGAUGCAUCUUUAUUCCGUCAAUUUCUUCAAAUAUUGUUCGGGUUAAAUGCAUGAAAUCCUUAUAUUUUGGUCGAAGAAUGAAAUCUCGCUAUGUGGAGUUAGAAGUGAUGUCGCUAAUGCAGCGAAGGUGUUAUUUUGGAAAGCCAGAAAGGGCCUCUCAUUUGUAUUAACCUUUGAAUCAGAGAGAGACAGAAAUUCAGCCAUUAUGGUUGCCAGGAAAUAUGCUCUUGAUUGCAAUGUCGUGCUUGCCGGGCCAGAUGAUCUAGUGUAGGAGCAAAAAUUAACUGACUGAGCUUUUCCAACAAACGUGAGAUUUAUCAGAUUCUUGGUGUGAGUAUACGUGUGUGCUUGUUUUGUUAAAGAAAGAUAUGAUUUCAUCUGUGAUUGGGUUUUUCACUAAUUGAGUUGCAUUGUUUUAGGCAUGGUUUUUUUAUUUGCCUAAUCAUGUUGUACCGAACUCAACUUUUUUUAUAAUUAUUAGUUCAUUUGUUCAUUGUGGCUAA